AGUGAACGCUGGCGGUAGGCCUAACACAUGCAAGUCGAACGGCAGCACAGUAAGAGCUUGCUCUUACGGGUGGCGAGUGGCGGACGGGUGAGGAAUACAUCGGAAUCUACUUUUUCGUGGGGGAUAACGUAGGGAAACUUACGCUAAUACCGCAUACGACCUACGGGUGAAAGCAGGGGAUCUUCGGACCUUGCGCGAUUGAAUGAGCCGAUGUCGGAUUAGCUAGUUGGCGGGGUAAAGGCCCACCAAGGCGACGAUCCGUAGCUGGUCUGAGAGGAUGAGUAGCCAAACUGGAACUGAGACACGGUCCAGACUCCUACGGGAGGCAGCAGUGGGGAAUAUUGGACAAUGGGCGCAAGCCUGAUCCAGCCAUACCGCGUGGGUGAAGAAGGCCUUCGGGUUGUAAAGCCCUUUUGUUGGGAAAGAAAAGCAGCAGGUUAAUACCCCGCUGUUCUGACGGUACCCAAAGAAUAAGCACCGGCUAACUUCGUG
rnacentral:rRNA from 1 species